UCGGGGGUAGCUCAAGUGGAAGAGCCUCUACUAUGCAAGUAGAAGGUUACGGGUUCGAAUCCUUGUCCCCUGAU
rnacentral:tRNA from 1 species